rnacentral:rRNA from 1 species
CCCGUAGGUGGCGCGAAUAGUCGGUUGUGAAAUCCCCUGGCUUAACCAGGGAACUGCAACCGAAACUCUCGUGCUUGAGUGUGAGAGGGGAGAGUGGAACUUCAAGUGGAGCGGUGAAAUGCGUAGAUAUUUGAAGGAACGCCGGUGGCGAAAGCGACUCUCUGGCUCACUACUGACACUGAGGGGCGAAAGCUAGGGUAGCGAACG